GAUGAAGAACGUAGCGAAAUGCGAUAAGUAAUGUGAAUUGCAGAAUUCAGUGAAUCAUCGAAUCUUUGAACGCACAUUGCGCCCCCUGGUAUCCCGGGGGGCAUGCCUGUCCGAGCGUCAUUACAACCCUCAAGCUCAGCUUGGUGUUGGGCCCCGCCGCCCCGGCGGGCCCUAAAGUCAGUGGCGGUGCCGUCCGGCUCCGAGCGUAGUAAUUCUUCUCGCUCUGGAGGUCCGGUCGUGUGCUCGCCAGCAACCCCCAAUUUUUUUCAGGUUGACCUCGGAUCAGGUAGGGAUACCCGCUGAACUUAAGCAUAUCAAUAAGCGGAGGA
rnacentral:misc_RNA from 1 species